UUUAGUCCUGGCUCAGGAUGAACGCUAGCGGCAGGCCUAACACAUGCAAGUCGAGGGGUAACAGAGAGUGCUUGCACUUUGCUGACGACCGGCGCACGGGUGCGUAACGCGUAUAGAAUCUACCUUGUACUGAGGGAUAGCCCAGAGAAAUUUGGAUUAAUACCUCAUGGUAUGUAUAGAUGGCAUCAUCCAUACAUUAAAGGUUACGGUAUAAGAUGACUAUGCGUCCUAUUAGCUAGAUGGUGUGGUAACGGCACACCAUGGCAACGAUAGGUAGGGGCCCUGAGAGGGGGAUCCCCCACACUGGUACUGAGACACGGACCAGACUCCUACGGGAGGCAGCAGUGAGGAAUAUUGGACAAUGGGGGCAACCCUGAUCCAGCCAUGCCGCGUGCAGGAAGACUGCCCUAUGGGUUGUAAACUGCUUUUAUACAGGAAGAAACACUCCCUCGUGAGGGAGCUUGACGGUACUGUAAGA
rnacentral:rRNA from 1 species